rnacentral:lncRNA from 10 species
AGAAGAAGAAGCCAGACCAGGAAAGUGAAAGGAAAUGGAUAUCGCUGCUGGAGGCAACGACUAAUUUAAGCAGAGUAGGAGAAAAACUCUUUUUUUUUUUCCUUUGUGCCAGUUCCUUUUACACGACUUCAGAACAUUCUAUGACAACCCAGCGUGCAACUUGGCACUGUCAGAAGAGUCCUGGGAAAGAAAGGAAAUGCGUUUUUCAGAACUUUACUAGGGGUAGUUGAUCCAAAUGGCAUUAUUGGAUGUGGUGGUUUCCGGACACCCACCUGUGACACUGCGGUGACCGGUCUCCUGUCUGGCCUGAAGUGGAUCUGGACCCCACACAGUCCCCAUGUACAGCUGAUACCAGGCUGAAGUGGAUCAGGAGGCUGAGGAACUAAGCCAGUGUCAGGUGGUGCACCAGGCUGCCCAAGUGGAGGCUUAGAUGAACACAGGAUGAUUAUGGAGCAAUACUUGAAGCCCAAAUGAAGCUCUGAACCCGGAGACUUCUCAAAACCUGUCAUCAAUGCUCUAACUCUUCUGUGGCCACCUCCUUCUACUGGAGUUUAGCCAGAAAAUGAGAAAACCAAUAUUGGACUGUACUGGACAGGACAUAUGUACUAUAUCAGAUUCUCCCUGGCCACAUGCAUAGAGUCUCUGUCUUUUCCCACCACUUUAAAGACAUUGAUAAAAUGCCAUACCACAGGGCAUGAGAUCUGGCAUCCCAAGUUGCCACCAGCAAACCUAGAAGUGU